GACUACUUAAACAAACAAAACCAGAUCACCACCUGUAACAACACCAAACAAACAAAACCAAGAACUAGGAAAAUGAGGAAAAAAUAUCUGACUGAAUGAAAAUUAUUACCUGAAGCAAUACAGAAGGAGUACUUAAUGUUCAAAUAAAGUCAUUGACCAAAGUAUGGAACAGAAAAUAUAAAUGCAUAUUUUUAAAGCAAACAUUUCAUCUCCUAAAGACAAGAUAAGACAUGGAAUGAGAAGGAGAAAUAAAUUAAUCCCACCAUCCAACAGUGAAAGAAAAAACACAGAACAUGAGGAGGACCAGAAAGCAAUGUGAAAAAGAGUUGAAAGGAGUCACUGCUGAGCUAUUUUAGAUUCUACACCCUCUAUCCAGCCAUGAACCUAUCAGCGAUCAUGCCUAACUAUUGCAUACCCCAUUAGACAACCUAAUGUGAAUGUAGGAAGCCUAUUCAUCUAAAGGACAUGGAACCGAGUAGAUGUAACUGAUACUUCACUAUUGACCUAUAGCCUAUUAAGAUCUACCAUGAGUCAUAUACAUUUGACACCGUGGUUUUCAUUUCAUAAUACAUAUCUUCACUAAUUUUGUCUAUCAUUUUGUCAAAGGGCUAAAACUAUAGUAAUGAGUACAUUCUUAAUGAGUUUUUCUUUAACUACCACAAUUUGUAUCUAAAUUUUGUCUCAUCUUAUGUUCUAAAAUUGUCACAGCAAAGUGAUCAAGGAAGCUAGAGAUUUUACAUAUGUUCUUCUCAAUAAGAUGGCUGUAUCUCUUCUAUAUCAAGUAAAUAAAUCCUUGAUACAUGAAUGAAGUAAUGGUUCAGUAAACAAAUUAAAUAUGAUACGACUUUAAAAAAAAAAAAAAAAAAAAAAAAAAAAAAAAAAAAAAAAAAAAAAAAAAAAAAAAAAAAAAAAAAAA
rnacentral:lncRNA from 1 species